rnacentral:rRNA from 1 species
AUGCAAGUCAGGGGCAGCGGGUGUAGCAAUACAUGCCGGCGACCGGCGCAAGGGUGCGUAACGCGUGAGCAAUCUGCCCGUAUCAGGGGGAUAAGCGAUGGAAACGUCGUCUAAUACCGCAUAACAACGAGGGGGCAUCCCUUCUGUUUUGAAAGUUUCGAUGGAUACGGAUGAGCUCGCGAGACAUUAGCUAGUUGGCGGGGUAACGGCCCACCAAGGCGACGAUGUCUAGGGGAACUGAGAGGUUGGUCCCCCACACUGGAACUGAGACACGGUCCAGACUCCUACGGGAGGCAGCAGUGAGGAAUAUUGGACAAUGGCCGGAAGGCUGAUCCAGCCAUGCCGCGUGAAGGAUUAAGGUCCUAUGGAUUGUAAACUUCUUUUGAGAGGGAGCAAUAAGGAUGUCGUGACAUCCGAUGAGAGUACCUUUCGAAUAAGCAUCGGCUAACUCCGUGCC